rnacentral:rRNA from 1 species
GAUGAACGCUGGCGGCGUGCCUAAUACAUGCAAGUCGAGCGAACAGAUGAGGAGCUUGCUCCUCUGACGUUAGCGGCGGACGGGUGAGUAACACGUGGAUAACCUACCUAUAAGACUGGGAUAACUUCGGGAAACCGGCGCUAAUACCGGAUAAUAUAUUGAACCGCAUGGUUCAAUAGUGAAAGACGGUUUUGCUGUCACUUCUAGAUGGAUCCGCGCCGCAUUAGCUAGUUGUUAAGGUAACGGCUUACCAAGGCAACGAUGCGUAUCCGACCUGAGGGGGGGAUCGGCCACCCGGGAACGGAGACACGGUCCAGACUCCUACGGGAGGCACCAGUAGGGAAUCUGCCGCAAUGGGCGAGAGCCUGACGCAGCAACGCGGUGCGAGUGAUGAAGGCCCUGGGAUCGUAAAGCCCUGUUAUUAGGGAAGAACCAAUGUGUAAGGAACUAUGCACGUCGUGACGGUACCUAAUCAGAAAGCCACGGCUAACUACGUG